CAAAGGGGCAGUGCGGCGUGCUAUACAUGCAGUCGAACGAACUCUGGUAUUGAUUGGUGCUUGCAUCAUGAUUUACAUUUGAGUGAGUGGCGAACUGGUGAGUAACACGUGGGAAACCUGCCCAGAAGCGGGGGAUAACACCUGGAAACAGAUGCUAAUACCGCAUAACAACUUGGACCGCAUGGUCCGAGUUUGAAAGAUGGCUUCGGCUAUCACUUUUGGAUGGUCCCGCGGCGUAUUAGCUAGAUGGUGGGGUAACGGCUCACCAUGGCAAUGAUACGUAGCCGACCUGAGAGGGUAAUCGGCCACAUUGGGACUGAGACACGGCCCAAACUCCUACGGGAGGCAGCAGUAGGGAAUCUUCCACAAUGGACGAAAGUCUGAUGGAGCAACGCCGCGUGAGUGAAGAAGGGUUUCGGCUCGUAAAACUCUGUUGUUAAAGAAGAACAUAUCUGAGAGUAACUGUUCAGGUAUUGACGGUAUUUAACCAGAAAGCCACGGCUAACUACGUGCCAGCAGCCGCGGUAAUACGUAGGUGGCAAGCGUUGUCCGGAUUUAUUGGGCGUAAAGCGAGCGCAGGCGGUUUUUUAAGUCUGAUGUGAAAGCCUUCGGCUCAACCGAAGAAGUGCAUCGGAAACUGGGAAACUUGAGUGCAGAAGAGGACAGUGGAACUCCAUGUGUAGCGGUGAAAUGCGUAGAUAUAUGGAAGAACACCAGUGGCGAAGGCGGCUGUCUGGUCUGUAACUGACGCUGAGGCUCGAAAGUAUGGGUAGCAAACAGGAUUAGAUACCCUGGUAGUCCAUACCGUAAACGAUGAAUGCUAAGUGUUGGAGGGUUUCCGCCCUUCAGUGCUGCAGCUAACGCAUUAAGCAUUCCGCCUGGGGGAGUACGGCCGCAAGGCUGAAACUCAAAGGAAUUGACGGGGGGCCCGCACAAGCGGUUGGAGCAUGUGGGUUUAAUUCCAAAGCUACCCCAAAGAACCUUACCAAGGUCUUGGACAUACUAUGCCAAAUCUAAAAAGAUUAGAACGUUCCCUUUCCGGGGACAUGGAAUACAAGGUGGGUGCAUGGGUUGUCCUUCAGCUCCGUGUCCUUGAAAAUGUUGGGGUUAAAGUCCCCGC
rnacentral:rRNA from 1 species